UGGGGAAUCUUGCGCAAUGGACGAAAGUCUGACGCAGCAACGCCGCGUGUGUGACGAAGGCCUUCGGGUCGUAAAGCACUGUCAGGAGGGAAGAACGCAGACGGUACCUCCAGAGGAAGCGCCGGCUAACUCCGUGCCAGCAGCCGCGGUAAGACGGAGGGCGCAAACGUUGCUCGGAAUCAUUGGGCGUAAAGCGUACGUAGGCUGUCUAUUAAGUCUGAUGUGAAAGCCCAGGGCUCAACCCUGGAAGGCCAUUGGAAACUGAUAGACUUGAGAGUGAGAGGGGUUAGUGGAAUUCCUGGUGUAGGGGUGAAAUCCGUAGAGAUCAGGAGGAACACCGGUGGCGAAGGCGACUGACUGGAUCACAUCUGACGCUGAGGUACGAAAGCAUGGGGAGCAAACA
rnacentral:rRNA from 1 species